UGGGGAGUUUGGCUGGGG
rnacentral:snRNA from 1 species